rnacentral:sRNA from 1 species
GGAUCUUAUCCAUAGAACAGCUCAUCAGCCGGGUUGGUGUGAUUGGAGUGACUCUCAUGGCUCUCCUUUCUGGAUUUGGUGCUGUCAACUGCCCAUACACUUACAUGUCUUACUUCCUCAGGAAUGUGACUGACACAGAUAUUCUAGCCCUGGAACGGCGACUGCUGCAAACCAUGGAUAUGAUCAUAAGCAAAAAGAAAAGGAUGGCAAUGGCACGGAGAACAAUGUUCCAGAAGGGGGAAGUGCAUAACAAACCAUCAGGUUUCUGGGGAAUGAUAAAAAGUGUUACCACUUCAGCACCAGGAAGUGAAACUUCACUUUCCUUAUGUGCAAAAUGGAUAACACCAUGGCAUAAGACAAUCCCAUGAAGAUAAGAUAUAAAAGAAGAUAAUGUUUGAAAAGAAAUAAGGAAGUGGAUGCUUUGGAAGAAUUAAGCAGGCAGCUUUUUCUGGAAACAGCUGAUCUAUAUGCUACCAAGGAGAGAAUAGAAUACUCCAAAACCUUCAAGGGGAAAUAUUUUAAUUUUCUUGGUUACUUUUUCUCUAUUUACUGUGUUUGGAAAAUUUUCAUGGCUACCAUCAAUAUUGUUUUUGAUCGAGUUGGGAAAACGGAUCCUGUCACAAGAGGCAUUGAGAUCACUGUGAAUUAUCUGGGAAUCCAAU